UUAUAAGGUCAAACCACCUUGAAAAUGCCAGAUCCCGUGUGAUCUCAGACGCUAAGCAGGGUGGGGUUUGGUUGGUAGUUGGAUGGGAGACCACUGGGAAUACGACGUGUCACAGU
rnacentral:rRNA from 1 species